rnacentral:rRNA from 1 species
UACAGAGGGUGCGAGCGUUGUUCGGAAUUAUUGGGCGUAAAGGGCGCGUAGGCGGUGCGGUAAGUCACCUGUGAAAUCUCCUGGCUCAACUGGGAGCUUGCAGGCGAAACUGCCGUGCUGGAGUGUGGGAGAGGUGCGUGGAAUUCCCGGUGUAGCGGUGAAAUGCGUAGAUAUCAGGAAGAACACCAAUGGCGAAAGCAGCUCUCUGGGACGGUACUGACGCUGAGACGCGAAAGCGUGGGGAGCGAACAGG